rnacentral:lncRNA from 1 species
CUUGACACCCCUCCAGAUUCUAAAGAAGGAAUAGUGGUGGAGUCAAACCAUGACUCGCACAUGGCAAAAGAACGGGCCCACAGUACAGCCUCACAUUCUUCUUCCAAUUCUGAAGAUACAGAGAUGUGAUGAAAACAAGUAAUAGCUUUGGCUGUUUAUUUGAUAGCUGUUUCUGGGUAUUUAAUAGGAAUCCUUUCUCAAGGAAUGAGUUGUGACCUGUUUACUGUCUCUUUAGAAGAAAAACUCCACUGGAAACCAUUCACCAUGUGUGAUUGUCUUCUGUUAUCAUUUGUCUUACAGGCGGCUAUUGCAGACGGCUAAUUUAUGCUUAACUUAGGAAGAGAUAAGGCAAGAGCUAGAUUUUUUUCAUGUGAUCUUUUCCAAGCUUCAACUUAACUUAACUACAUUUCUCUGUAUGAUGAUGUCUCUUACUUCUACAGGUUCCUUGAGCACCAAAGAUGAUUCAUAACUCUGUAUAGGUGACAGCUGCUUAUAAAAGCAUCUUAGCAGAUAAGCCUAUUAAAAUUGUGCUUUUGUAACAAUGUUGUGGUUGCUAGAAUAAAU